rnacentral:lncRNA from 1 species
GGGGGGUGUCAGGAAUGUUCUCUUUGGGGGAAACAGGUGUGUUGGAUGCCUCAGCUGAAGUGAUGUAGGGUGCUGCUGUAGUGGCAACAGGCAUGGUGGGGGCUGGUGAGAUACUGAAGGAAGGAGUGGUUGAGGCACCAGAGGUGGUGGUUAGGAGAACUGAAGUCAUUGUGGCUGUAGCUGUGGUGUCCAGGG